GAAAUGGUCCUCAGGGUGCUUGUAGACAUCCUUCAGAAGGUAAGACAUGAGAUCAAUCAGGAUCCUAGCCAGAUGGCAGGCGUGGUCAAUUGUAUAUAGUACCUUCUAGACUUGAGGAAGAGUCUUCAAACUCUAUUAUUAUAGGUAUAAUUUUAGUGUGCCAUUAGUUGAGUUUAGCUUUAUUUGAACGAGGAUCCAUAUACUCUUAGUAUCUACUUAUUAUGCCCUAUAAUUAAGGUUAUCUUGGGAUUCUUUAUCUAUGUCGUUAUGUG
rnacentral:lncRNA from 1 species